AGCCCCCAUCCUCUGAGAUCCAUGCAGAACCAUAAAACCCUGAACCAUAAAAACAAAAACAAAAUAAUGAAGUUUUCCUCUCUUCUUGUUUUAUGUCCUUAGGAGCUUGACCUUGUAACCGUGUUCAGAAACUUUGUCUUGGUCAUCUCCACCAUCUGGAGGACAGGAUUUUUGGAAUUCGUGUCAUAGUUAGCUCACAAAAUUAUCUUGAGCAAGUUAAAAGCCAUUUCAAGCUCAAAAUUCACUGCUCUAGCCUCCUUCUGGGAAGAGAAAUGGAAACUGCCCAAUGCUGCAGUUUAGUAGCUAAGGCUUUGUCUUUUUCCAAUGGCAGCAUGGGUUCAGAGUUAAAUUCCUGGCUUAGGGAAUCAGUGCUUUCUGCUUGAUAUCUGUGUGACCUUUGCCAUUUAUUGAUUCUCUGCUCCUCCAUGAACAAUAUCUGACUUUCCUUCUUAAAUUUUUCUUUCUCUAAGCUACUUUGGAGAUUCUAGAUCCUGUAAAAACUGCUAGCCACCUUAUUGAAAAUACCCUGUACACUUGUGGUUAAAUCAUAACCUUAGUUAAGGCUUAUUGAUUUCGCCUGUGAGGUUACUUUUUGUAAAGUUUAAAAGCCAGAAAUAUUGGAUGUAUGGUCUACCUAAAGCAGGGUAAUAAGAUAUUUAAAAGAAUUUAUUUAAAAGCAUGCUAUGAUUAAAAUUCAACUUUUAUUAAAAGCAGAUAUCUAAACCAUGCAUAUAUUUAAAAGGUCUUUAUAUUUUUUUUCUCUUCUUGGAUUGUGUUUUCCUGUAGUAAAGGGUUUUUUUUCUUCUCAAUCAGCUGAAUUGUUUUUCUCCAUUUGUCUUCUUGCCACUCUUGAUGCACAAAUGAAAGGAUCUAAGAUAGUUUCUAACAGCCUGGGACAUCUUGGGAAAAACGGAGAAAGUGAGACAAACCUCAUUUUGGGAAAAACUUCUGUUUUCCUCAGAAAGCCACAGGAAUUGAAAGCAGAUACAUUUCUCUCAAAAUCUAAGGCUCUGUUCUGUUUUGCAUUGCAUUAUCUGAUGUUUAUGACUUUUGUGGAUAUCAGAAAUUACUUCACGUUAUGAGAGCGCUUUAGUGUAUAAUCACUAGGUAGGAAAUAUACUUUUAGGGGUGACUACUUGCAGUUAAGGUGGGAUAUGCAUCUCUUUACACGUUUGGAUCAGAGACGCAUGCUCUUGCCCACAUAGAAGAUAUGGCGAUCUCCUCACUCCCCACUGAGAGGUAAGACUCCCAUGGGAGAUGGACUGAUUCCUUCCUUAUAUGGAAUCCAGGAUCUGGUAUAAAAAUGGGACCCUUAAUUUUCAGGGAUCUGUUUUGCCUUCCAGAUGUGCCUGCCUGCUUAUUAGGCCCUAGAACCUGCAUGCUUUUCUGGCCCUGUUUCUCAAAGGGCUCCACCCUGUAGCCAGUAAUCCAAAUAAGAAACUUAAAAUUAACAAAUGAAAAAUCUUACAACUACUGAAUCUUCUGCCUCUCUGUGUAUUUAUAUGUGUUGCGUGUGUGAUGGUUAUAUAUGAGAGAGCUCUGAAUGAUUGGCUUAAAAAUAAUAAGAGCUUAAAUCAAAUAUUUUUUCAGAAAAAUAAAAACUGUAAUGCAUUUUGUUUCAUGUUACUUAAGUAAUCUUUAAUAAAUAAAGACAGUUUUAAAGAUUAUUGGUAAAAUAAAAAAUCUUCAGAAAUUUAAACAUUUGGUCUAAAUUAGGCAGGUAAGACAUCCAGUUUUCUAAAUGCUUUAAGGUCAUAAUCUGCUUCUGUGACUAUUGAAAAUUGUUCAACUUACCUGUUUGGGAACCAUUUGAUUUUAGGUAAUGCCUGGGCACGUGUGGAGUUAUCCAUUCCCUCUGGCUACACAGGAAAGGGUCAGAGCUCAUCUGCACUUCUGUCUAGUGUCCCAGGCUUUAUACUUAAUAAUUAAAAUCACUUACUUGCCAGGUUUUUCACCAAAAAUAAAAGUUGCUAAGAGUUAACAUUGUAACAUGUAGUUGAGAGUACUGAAGAAACAGUGUUACGCACAAGGUGUGUUGGAAAGUAAAAUGCGUUUUUAGUAAAAGAUUAUAAGAAGGCAUGGAAAUGUGGAUUUUUUUUGCCUAGAUUAAAGGGUUAAGGCUUGUUUUAAGUUAGAUAGGAAAGAUCUCAAGGUUUGCACAAGUUGUGAAAGGUUUGUAAAAAAUUAAUCUUGUAAAAGAAAUUCUGUGUGUGAACAUAUUGGCUAAAGUUAAAAGGGUAUUAUUCAGUUUUCCAGUAAAUUGAAUAUUAGACUAAAACCAUGACAGGUUUUUCUUAGAGAAUUUUUCUGCUUUUUAACAAAAACAUGGUAAAGGGUUAUGAAAAGCUUAUGAGAAUCUUAACUUAUGGUCAGACUGAAUAAAAGUGUAUAGAUUUCUCUAUGAGGUUUUAUUAACAAAUGGGUUUGACAUCAAUAGUACACUAAUGCAAAGGUAAUACCUGGAUUUCUUUCACCUGUAUUUGUAUAAAUGUAUUAUUGGUAUGUGUCCUAAAGUUAUGCAAAACUCCUAUAAUUCUGAUAUGACUUAGUAUAUGUUAUCAGUAAUAAUUAUUGUUAUAUAAGAUUAUUAUGUGCCACAGAAAUAACAAAUUUCCUUGUCAAUUGUGUCUUUGACUGUGGCUGCCCUUAGACAUUUUGUUAUCCACAGACAAUUGUUUUGUUUUAAUUUUAUAAUCAGCUGUAGGCUUAAAUGCAGGUUUCUGAUAACUUUGGAGAUUGUGACAUUAAAAUAGAAGAAAAGCUUUCAGGACUAUCAUGGAGAGCUGAAAUGUUCAUGAAUAUCAAUCAGAACAGGAGUGAACUGCAUGGAGUAAAUGUUCUAGAAGAAUUAAAUAAUCCUUUUGUGAUUUUUUUCCUUAAAAAGUUGCAAAUCCUUUGUUUUUCAAAGCCAAGAAGACUUUUCUUUUGAGCUAUUUAUAGCUUUUAACAAUUGAGUAAAGUAUACUCCUAUAAAAAAUUUUGGAGCAUAUUUCUACCAGAUUUCUCCAAAAUUUGGAAGCCAUUUGUGAGUAUUCUUAACAUAUGGCAAUUUAGUUAUUUGCAUAAGUGCAAUAAGAAUCUGUCUUCUUUUACAACAGACACAAUUGGAGAAACUUGGUUAUUUUAGCAAGGCUUUGACUGGAGUGAUGUGCUUUGAUUCCUUUUUAAGGAAUCGAAUGUGACUUACACAGCCAAUGAAAGCCCCUUGGGAAAACUCACCUUACACUUUGUCUAAACAGUCCCUGUACAGGGUUCCUGACAUGUGGUAAGUAGAGUGUCACUUUCUAACAGGCCCAGGAGCCCUAAGUUUUCUUGGGACCUCAAGAGGGGGGAGAUUUACCCAAGUUAUACAGGUAUUUGAUGGCAUAAACUCAUGAGUGGGCUUAAGGCUUUAAAAAGAGUCUUAUCUGAGAUUCCUUAUCAAAUAAAGUUCCCUCAAAGCCAAUUUAAAAAGAGCCUAUAUGGUAAAUAAUUAUUCUUGCUGUGCUUUAUCCAAAUAAUGAGAUCAUGUAUAAUAAGACUAAAGCUUAUUUUGCAAACAAAUCAGUCUUAUCAUAAUUUGUUUUUAAUAAAAUUGAGGAUUGGAGAGAGAAAAAUUAUGUUUCAAGAACUAUGGUACACCUAUUAUUAUAUUCUAGUCCCAUCAGUUGUUCUUGAAUCUUUGUCUGAAAUUUAGACUAACCUUGCUUAUUCCUCCUAACCAAACAGUGAUCUCUGGCUACAGCUCAGAAGAAACAAAAGGGAUGGGUAAUGUAAAGUUCUAGAUCAAUAUUCUAAUUCUGGAGGUAUAUUGGAAUUGACUAGCAACCUCAUAAACCCCAAGUUCUAGUAGGCAUGACUAUAACCACCAACUACCUAGGCAUGUUGGCAGCCUCAGGAAAUUUUGGAGUCAUCCUCACCCCCUUAUUUUGUUUUAACAUUCUUCUGCUUUUUUUUUUUCUUGAGACAGAGUCUUGCUUUGUCCCCCCAGGCUGGAAUGUAGCAGCACAAUAUUGGCUCAUUGCCACCUCCUCUUCCCAGGUUCAAGUGAUUCUCCCACUUUAGCCUCCUGGAUAGCUGAAACUAUAAGCAUGCACCACCAUGCCUGGCUCACUUUUGUGUUUUUGGUAGAGACAGGGUUUUGCUAUGUUGGCCAGGCUGAUCUCAAACUCCUGGCCUUAAGUGAUAUGCUUGCUUCAGCCUCCCAAAGUGCUAGGACUACAGGCAUAAGCCAUGCCCAGCCUUGUUUUAACAUUCUUCUAAAUCUAAUAACUCAUUUUGUCCCCUCUCACCUUCAGGCCUUCAAGCUCCAGAUAAUCCUCAGUGAGGUAUACUGUCCGCUCAAUAUCCAAGAGUCACCCUUCUACAAGGGACCUCUAGACUGCCCAUAAGUGAGACAUGACAGAGGUAAAGUCAUGCUCCUGUCUCCCUUGGACCUGGCUGGAAACUGCAUUCAUCAACCCAUGGAACCACCCCCCUGCCAUGAAAGCUAGCAAGAGGCCAAGACCCACAGAACAACCACCAUCAUCCCUCUGUCAGCAGGAAGCGGUUACAAAAGACUAACCUUUGCCCAUUUUCCCCAAAGAAUUGGGGUCUUGGAAUCUUGAGGGAGGAAAUGUUACAGUAGGUAGCUAGUCAGACAUGAGCAGAGCAGAAGAGGGCUUACACACACACACACACACACACACACACACACCCCACACACAAAGAAUCCUGGGCAACCAUCAGGCGAUUGUAAGGUGGUUGUUAACUGUGUCUCUAAAAUAACGAUUGGUCACAACCAGUGCAAUGGAAAGGCAGUCUCUCAAUAAACAGAAACACCUGGAGCUGAUGAUCAGCAGCUUCCUGAUCAGGUCUCAGAAGUUUGGCAAGCUGGCCUACACAUGCGCACUAAGAGGCAAAAUGGCACAGUUUAACUGGUAUAUGACUUCCAAUGGACAUUCAGCAUGUAAGGGAAAAAUGCCUCAAGUAAGCAUGCAUACAACUCCACUAAACACACUGUGCAUGCUCCCCUCUCAAGUGCUGGCAGGCCAGUGCACAUGGGGACAGCCCACCCCAAAGAAAGUCUCAAGGGUGUAGGGAUGCAAGACCCCGGGAAUAUGCCAAUGUAUUAAACCCUAAGUCAAAAGGUCAAAUCAUGCACUUGUCUUUCAAGUCACCCACUUGACCCUCUUCCAAGUGUACUUUCCUUCCUUUUGUUACUACUCUAAAGCUUUUUAAUAAAUUUUCACUUUUUGAAUUCUUGUCUGCAACUUAGACUAACCUUGCUUGUUUCUCUGAACCAACCAGUGAUCUCUGGCUCGACUCAGAAGCAACAAAUAGAUGGGUAAUGUAAAAAUAUGGAUUAAUAUUCUAAUUCUGGGGGUACAAAUCUAAAAUUUGCUUCAGUCUCUCCUUCUACCUAUGCCCCUCAGUUAAAUUCUUUCUUCUGAGGAGGCUAGAAUUGAGGUUGCUGCAGACCUGUACCGAUUCACCACCAGUAGCAGGUACUAGAAAGAUUAAGGAGAGGAACAUUCUGGUUAUGAAGGUCCAAUUCUCUUACCAUAUGUUCCAAGUUGUUUUUUUGUUUUGUUUUGUUUUAAUUCUCUGUAGUCCUGGGAACUGCCUCACUCUCAUAUUUGAGUUCUGGGAUAUUGUUGGUGAUAGUCUCUGCAGUGUAUAUUGGUUUUUAUAUUUUGUGGAGGGGGAGUGAAGCCAGUUUGCUUCUAUGCUGCCAUUUUGAAACCCUGCCACAAGUCAUUUAUUCCUGUUGUUGGAAAAUAUUCCAUUGAUUAGGUGUAAUACCAUUUGUUUAUCCAUUCACCUAUUGGGAAAGAUCUUAUUUGCUUCAAGUUUUGGCAAUUGUAAAUAAAACUGCUAUAAAUCUGUGCAGGUUUUUGUGCAGAUAGAAGUUUUCAUCUCAUUUGUGUAAAUGCCAUAGAGUGCAGUUGCUGGAUUGUAUGGUUAGUAAAUUAGUCUAUUUUUAUGCUGCUGAUAAAGACAUACAAGAGACUGGCUAACUUAUAAAGAAGCAGAGGUUUAAUGGACUCACAGUUCCGUGUGGCUGGGGAGGCCUCACAACCAUGGUGGAAAGGGAAAGACAUGUCUUAUAUGGCUGCGGGCAAAAGAGAAUGAGAGCCAAUGAAAGGGGUUUCCCCCUAUAAAACCAUCAGAUCUCAUAAGACUUAUUCACUACCUCGAGAACAGUAUGGGGGAAACUACCCCCAUCAUUCAAUUAUCUCCCACUGGGCCCCUCCACAACAUGUGGAAAUUAUGAGAGCUACAAUUCAAGAUGAGAUUUGGUGGGGACACAGCCAAUCAUAUUAGUAAGAAUAUGCUUACUUCUGUAAAAAGCUGCCAAACUCUCUUCUAAAUUGGCUGUAACUGUUUGCAUUUUCAUUAGUAAUGAAUGAGAGUUUCUGUUGUUCCACAUCCUCUCCAGCAUUUGGUGUAAGCAUUUAGAAUUUUAGACAUUCUACUAGGUGUAUCAUGGUAUCUCCUCGUUGUUUUAAUUUAUAAUUUCCUGAUGACAAAUGAUGUUGAGCAUAUUUUAUAUCAUAUAUAUGUACACACACACACAUUCUUUGGUCAGAUGUCUGUUCAGGUUUUCAGCCCAUAUUUUAAUUGGGUUGUUGCUUUGUUCAGUUUAAAGAGUUAUUCAUACAUUUUAGAGCUCAGUCCUUUAUCAGAUAUGUAUUUUGCAAAGAUUUUCUUCCAAUCUGUGGCUUGUAUUUUCAUUCUCCCAACAGUGUCUUUCACAGAGCAGAAGUUUUUAUUUUUAAUAAAGUACACCUAAUCAAUAUUUUCUUUCAUGUAUUGUGCUUCUGGUGUUGCAUCUAGAAAGUCAUCACCAAACCUAAGGUCACCUAGACUUUCUCCCAUAGUAUCUUCUAUUAGUUUUAUAGUUUUUAGCUUUAAAUUUAGGUUUAUGAUUCAUUUUAAAUUAAUUAUUUUUGAAAUGUUUAAGAUCUGUGUAUAGAAUCUUUUUUGCAUAUGAAUAUCCAGUUGUUCCAGCACCAUUUGUUGAGGAUUGCUUUUUCUUCCUGGAAUUAUCAUUGCUCCUUUGUCACAGAGCAGUUGACUGUGUGGAUCUACACACAAAUUUAAGCCAACAGCUGUUGCAGUUCUAUGUUUAUAAUAAUGUUUAAAUUUUGAAUCCAACUAUUAAUAUGAAUUUUAAGCCACUUCUCUGUCUCUUUUGAUUUGAAUGUGGAGGGUGUCAUUUACUUCAGAAGGUAUGUAAAAGAGAUGUGCAACUUAGAAAAAUCAAAAUAAAUUUUAGCAUAAAUAUUCAACACAGAAUGGAAACAGAAUUUUACUCAUGUAGCUAAAUAUGGAGCCCCUAUCUGACUAUAUUAGAAUAUAUAAUUGUUAACAUUAUUUGCCAAG
rnacentral:lncRNA from 1 species